GCAGAAAUGGAGCUUUUGUGACUCCUCACCUGUGCUGGAGCGGGCUUUUCAGGGAUGCAGUGGCCUUUGACUCAUCUACCGCUUCUGUAAGCAACUCCUCACUCUGCUCUAGAGCAGCCUCUGCACCAUGCUUCUGCCACUGUGACGUUCUGCUUCUCCAUAGGCUCAGAAUGAGCCUGCCCCAGGAUUAUGGACAGAGACCUCAGAAACCAUAACCAAGACAAGCCUCUGCGCCCUUAUGUUGCUCAGGUGCCGUAUUUUCUCACAGAUACUACGUUGUCUUCCUGUUCAACGGUUGGUUACUCUUGCUUGAACAUAAGUUUCUCUAGCGUUAUGAAAAUAUUAAUUACAUGGCUGAUUGUUUGGAAUGAGACAUGUUUCUCAGUGGUGUAGCUGCUGGUGAGCCUCCCAUUCCACAGUGAAUAACCUUCUACCCAUGAUCAUGCACAGCAGUCCUAACUCAACUCAAUGGGUUUUUAAAAGAAAUAAAAGUCAUGGGAGCAGGAAGUAAGAGUGGACACUGAAAUACCCAUGCCGGGGACUCUGCAGUAUGGAAACUAUGGUGUUGGCUUGGGCUAACCAUUAUAACUUUUUUAGAGAGUAGGAAAGCAUGACCUCUGAGAAAUGCCAGGUUACUCGAAAGAACCUAUUGCGCAUGAGGGUGGUGUGAGAUUGGACAGCAUCUGCUCAAGGACUCAGAGCCUCUCAUCACGGAAGCAUAGCUGUAUGUGUCGUACGCAGGGGAAGACAUCCUAAAAGAUGACAGAACAAAUAAUGCUCGGCACUGAUACUCCAUUCCAGUCAGCAAACCUUUGGAAGAACUCUAGGGAGUGUCUGGGACUAGGCUAUACUACAUCUACCAAGAGGAGAAACAUGUAUUGCGAUCUUCAAGCCAGAGAUGCUUAUUGUGAACAAUGAUAGCUUGUCAGAGAAGGCCCUGGACCCAGUACCAGAAAUAAUUUGCUACCCACAGUGAGCUGUUGAUUGGAGGAGGGACCUACGUGGUCCCCAAAUCAUGACAGGCUUCUGUCAAAGCACUUGAUUACCUACUUGAGGUAAAAGGUAAGACCCUAUUGCUGAAGACAACAUAUGCUACUGGCACAGAAUGUGGAGAGACCUAGCUGGAAUCUGGAAGAGAGCCAGUUAGCUCUUCUUGUGCUGGAAAUCAUUACAUGGGCCAUGGGGGGGGGGGGGGGGGGCCAACAACAUUUGGAGCAACCAGGGUGUAAGCUACUCAGCUACUCAGAAACAAACGCUCUGAAAAAAUGUCAUGACUUACAUGGUUUUAUUUUCUACCUGUUUUUAGAAGGUAAGACCGAUCUUGUGAUCGCCUAAGAUAAACUCACCAAGAGAAGAUCAAGAAAACAGAACCACCAUUUCUGGGCUUUAGCUUUUCUCAUCUAAGCAGCAAAAGCAGAAUCAGAUAAUUUGUAAGGUUAUUUAUAAAAAUUGGCUUUGAAGUAUCUAAAAGGAGAAAGUAAGCUUAUUCAACUGA